UAGUGGCCUACCAAGGCGACGACGGGUAGCCGGCCUGAGAGGGUGACCGGCCACACUGGGACUGAGACACGGCCCAGACUCCUACGGGAGGCAGCAGUGGGGAAUAUCGCGCAAUGGGCGAAAGCCUGACGCAGCGACGCCGCGUGGGGGAUGACGGCCUUCGGGUUGUAAACCUCUUUCAGCAGGGACGAAGCGAGAGUGACGGUACCUGCAGAAGAAGCACCGGCCAACUACGUGCCAGCAGCCGCGGUAAUACGUAGGGUGCAAGCGUUGUCCGGAAUUAUUGGGCGUAAAGAGCUCGUAGGCGGUUUGUUGCGUCGGCUGUGAAAACCUGAGGCUCAACCUCAGGCCUGCAGUCGAUACGAGCAGACUAGAGUGUUGCAGGGGAGACUGGAAUUCCUGGUGUAGCGGUGAAAUGCGCAGAUAUCAGGAGGAACACCGGUGGCGAAGGCGGGUCUCUGGGCAACAACUGACGCUGAGGAGCGAAAGCGUGGGGAGCGAACAGGAUUAGAUACCCUGGUAGUCCACGCCGUAAACGUUGGGCGCUAGGUGUGGGGCUCAUUCCACGAGUUCCGUGCCGCAGCUAACGCAUUAAGCG
rnacentral:rRNA from 1 species